UGUUACAGAGAAUUCAUUUCCCUCUCCAAACUGCCUUCCUCCCUUUUGACACAAAAGCAGAGAAAAGCUGCCUGUCGGUUAUCAAAAGUAUCUUUUCCUUCCUGCCUGCAAUUAAGUGCUACACACACACCACCCCCCACCCCAAUACCCCCUCACAGUCCAACUGCAGAAUCACCGAUGACCGAAACUAAACACUGAUGCUUCUUGCAAUCUGAAGAGGAUGUAAGUCAGUUUGAUUCCAAGUUUACACGUCAGACACCUGUUGACAGCCCAGAUGAUGCAACUCUCAGUGAAAGUGCCAAUCAGGUCUUUCUGAUGCCACUGCGAGAACGGGAACAAUGGAACAGGCCCU